rnacentral:rRNA from 1 species
GUGCAUCGGAGAAGAACGCAGCGRAAUGCGAUACUUAGUGUGAAUUGCAGAAUCCCGUGAGUCAUCCAGUCUUUGAAUGCAAGUUGCGCCCGAGGCUUCGAACGAGGGCACGUCUGCCUGGGUGUCGCACACGAUCGAAUCGCCCCAUUGCCUGCGUGCGGGCGGUGGAGGGGAGCUGGCUGUCCGUGUCCCUUGCGACACCGUCGGCUUAACCGGAUUGCGCUCCCGUUGUCGGGCAUCGGCGAGCGGUGGUUCGGCCGUCUUGGCCGAUCGAUACGCGGCACCGUAAGUGCACGGCACGCGGGGAAGGCCCCAUCGACUUGAUCACUCCGGAGGCCUAGGCUUCGGCCGGAGUUCCUCCCGUCCACGUCACGCGACCCCAGGUGCAGGCGAGAGCACCCGCUGAGUUUAAAGCAUAA